GUCGAGAAUUUUUCUCAAUGGGCGAAAGCCUGAAGGAGCGACGCCGCGUGGGGGAUGAAUGGCUUCGGCCCGUAAACCCCUGUCAUUUGCGAUCAAACCGCAUUAUUUAAAAGAUGAUGCGCUGAUAGUAGCGGAAGAGGAAGGGACGGCUAACUCUGUGCCAGCAGCCGCGGUAAUACAGAGGUCCCAAGCGUUGUUCGGAUUCACUGGGCGUAAAGGGUGCGUAGGUGGCCGGGUAAGUCUGACGUGAAAUCUCCAAGCUCAACUUGGAAACUGCGUCGGAUACUAUCCGGCUCGAGGAUCGGAGGGGAGACUGGAAUGCUUGGUGUAGCAGUGAAAUGCGUAGAUAUCAAGCGGAACACCAGUGGCGAAGGCGAGUCUCUGGACGAUUCCUGACGCUGAGGCACGAAAGCCAGGGGAGCAAACGGGAUUAGAAACCCUAGUAGUCC
rnacentral:rRNA from 1 species